rnacentral:rRNA from 1 species
CUAACUGGAGGACCGAACCGACUAAUGUUGAAAAAUUAGCGGAUGACUUGUGGCUGGGGGUGAAAGGCCAAUCAAACCGGGAGAUAGCUGGUUCUCCCCGAAAGCUAUUUAGGUAGCGCCUCGUGAAUUCAUCUUCGGGGGUAGAGCACUGUUUCGGCUAGGGGGUCAUCCCGACUUACCAACCCGAUGCAAACUACGAAUACCGAAGAAUGUUAUCACGGGAGACACACGGCGGGUGCUAACGUCCGUCGUGAAGAGGGAAACAACCCAGACCGCCAGCUAAGGUCCCAAAGUCAUGGUUAAGUGGGAAACGAUGUGGGAAGGCACAGACAGCCAGGAUGUUGGCUUAGAAGCAGCCAUCAUUUAAAGAAAGCGUAAUAGCUCACUGGUCGAGUCGGCCUGCGCGGAAGAUGUAACGGGGCUAAACCAUGCACCGAAGCUGCGGCAGCGACACUAUGUGUUGUUGGGUAGGGGAGCGUUCUGUAAGCCUGCGAAGGUGACCUGUGAGGGUUGCUGGAGGUAUCAGAAGUGCGAAUGCUGACAUAAGUAACGAUAAAGCGGGUGAAAAGCCCGCUCGCCGGAAGACCAAGGGUUCCUGUCCAACGUUAAUCGGGGCAGGGUGAGUCGACCCCUAAGGCGAGGCCGAAAGGCGUAGUCGAUGGGAAACAGGUUAAUAUUCCUGUACUUGGUGUUACUGCGAAGGGGGGACGGAGAAGGCUAUGUUAGCCGGGCGACGGUUGUCCCGGUUUAAGCAUGUAGGCUGGUUGUCCAGGCAAAUCCGGAUAAUCAAGGCUGAGGUGUGAUGACGAGGCACUACGGUGCUGAAGUAACAAAUGCCCUGCUUCCAGGAAAAGCCUCUAAGCAUCAGGUAACAUCAAAUCGUACCCCAAACCGACACAGGUGGUCAGGUAGAGAAUACCAAGGCGCUUGAGAGAACUCGGGUGAAGGAACUAGGCAAAAUGGUGCCGUAACUUCGGGAGAAGGCACGCUGGUGUGUAGGUGAAGUCCCUGCGGGUGGAGCUGAGACCAGUCGAAGAUACCAGCUGGCUGCAACUGUUUAUUAAAAACACAGCACUGUGCAAACACGAAAGUGGACGUAUACGGUGUGACGCCUGCCCGGUGCCGGAAGGUUAAUUGAUGGG